UACGAAGGGUGCAAACGUUGCUCGGAAUUAUUGGGCGUAAAGCGCACGUAGGCGGCUUUUCAAGUCGGAUGUGAAAUCCCUCGGCUUAACCAAGGAAGUGCAUCCGAAACUGGAAGGCUUGAGUACUUACGAGGAUCGCGGAAUUCCCGGUGUAGAGGUGAAAUUCGUAGAUAUCGGGAGGAACACCAGUGGCGAAGGCGGCGAUCUGGGAAGAUACUGACGCUGAGGUGCGAAAGCGUGGGGAGCAAACAGG
rnacentral:rRNA from 1 species